AUAGGCCUAUAUGAUCAGAAAAUGGCUAUGUUGUCCUUUACAUUUCCUAGUGUACCGCAUUGUCCAUGUCCUUUAUGACGUGUGGUCACACCAGCGUGGCACAUUAUAGGAAGGUGGACCUUGUUGCAUGAGAGCUACACAGGGUAGUGCUUCAGGGAAGAUGGUGUCCGAUACUGCUGGAGUAAAGGAACCAAGGAGAAGUGUUAUCACUGACUAACACUCUCUCUCUCUCUCUCUCUCUCUCUCUCUCUCUCUCUCUCUCUCUCUCCCUCUCUCUCUCUCUCUCUCUCUUUUUUUUUUUUUUUUACAGUUUAUCCCUCCCAUUGUCUCUCUGUUGGAUGUAAGACAGUGGCUCUGUGUGAGAUUCUGAAGUACACCCAGCCCACACAUCUGUCUGUCCCCUAUCUCUCAGUGAAUGCGCUCCAGCUCAAGCUGAAUCUACAGUAAAGGAGAGGUACGUAUCAAACAAAUACAGCACACGGAAAUGUUUUAUUCAUAUGGCUCGUAUAAUAGGUUUAUUUGUGUAGUUACCUCGAAAUUAGGAUCUCAGAGGAAAAGGGGAGUGUCAUAAGGGUAAUGGCCUUACAUUUGAACGUCGGAGUAUCUCUUUUCAUUUAUCAACUGUAUUUAUCUAAGAAGGCUGACAGAGGUGAAAAACUAUUGUUUUAGCCUCUUAUUCCUCACAAAGUAGGCCCAAAACGAGUACUUAGACACCUUUAAAUGGCGUUCCAAAUUAAUUAUCCUGUCCAGGUAACUGAAAACACCAGUCCUGCCAGCCCUGCCAAACAACAGAAAUAAAGAACACAAAUUAGGUUAUAUCAGAUUCCCACCACUCGUCAGACACAUAUGUUUGCUUGCAUUGUCUUCUCUGUGCUCUGGGGUG
rnacentral:lncRNA from 13 species